GGGCCAGUGGCAUAAUGCAGAACGCGUCUGAUUAUGAAUCAAAAGAUUGUAGGCUCAACUUCUUCCUGGCUCG
rnacentral:tRNA from 1 species